AUCGCUUCUCGGCCUUUUGGCUAAGAUCAAGUGUAGAAGUUUGGAAUUUGAAGGACCAAUCGAUCAUAUAACGGCUGUGAGUUGUUUUUUGGUUUUUUUUUUAUGUUUUUAUGUUUAUUUAUUUUUGAGAGAGAGAGCAGAAGACAGGCAGAGAGAUGGGGGGACAAAGGAUCCAAAGAGUGCUCUGCGCUGA